CAAAAAAGAAAACAUUUCACCUGUCAAUCUGUCAUCUCUGCUGUUUCCAACGCGAAAUAUGUAAAGUGUUUUUAGUUAAGUGAUUAAUCCAACAAAUUAAAUUAAGCUAGCUCCUCAAUAAAAUAUACAGUAUAUAUAAUGAUGCAAAGACUGCGUGCAUUCUAAACGCUGGUCUAUUUUCUGGUGUUGUGCAAUAACCGGAACUUUUCCAAACUGGUUCAAGGGGAAACCGGCGCAUCAACAUCAACAACUUACUGGAAUCAAAUUUAGAACAUCCGAUGUAGCCAUCUAUCACAAGAUAAUGCAAUCAUUGGUUAGAUGCACAUUUUCGUUCUGUGAACCGAUGCACUCUGGCGAUGGAAGCAGAAUCAUCACUCUUAUCGUCAGUCGCAUAUGCAGCAUUAAAGAUUUUGGGAAGCAUCAAUGUUGCAGGUGCAUGAGAGUCGACACCUAGGCUGUUUAAUUAUUCGUACUGUAGUAGAUCUAUCACAAUCAAAUCUAAAUGGCGUUUGGUUAAUUUUGCCUGCCAGACAAUACAAAGUGUAAUGUACAAUGUAUGUAUCAGCGGAUCGACAAUUCAGCAUCGCGACAUGACCAGCCGAGAUAAGAUGUAAGAAAAAACGUAUGCUAAUAGAAAAAUACACAUAA